rfam:Winogradskyella psychrotolerans RS-3 Winogradskyella_psychrotolerans_contig_15, whole genome shotgun sequence.
CUUUUGCUGUUGGCGCGUUAAGGAUUGCAGCGUUAUCCUUUUUUGUCUUUUUCAAAAAAGAUUUAAGCGGAAAGCCUGACCCUUU